UACGCAGGGGGCUAGCGUUGCUCGGAAUCACUGGGCGUAAAGCGCCCGUAGGCGGCUUUUUAAGUCAGGGGUGAAAUCCUGGAGCUCAACUCCAGAACUGCCUUUGAUACUGAGAAGCUUGAGUCCGGGAGAGGUGAGUGGAACUGCGAGUGUAGAGGUGAAAUUCGUAGAUAUUCGCAAGAACACCAGUGGCGAAGGCGGCUCACUGGCCCGGUACUGACGCUGAGGUGCGAAAGCGUGGGGAGCAAACAGG
rnacentral:rRNA from 1 species